AGAGUUUGAUCAUGGCUCAGAUUGAACGCUGGCGGCAUGCCUUACACAUGCAAGUCGAACGGCAGCACGGGGGUAACCCUGGUGGCGAGUGGCGAACGGGUGAGUAAUACAUCGGAACGUGUCCUGGAGUGGGGGAUAGCUCGGCGAAAGCCGGAUUAAUACCGCAUACGCUCUGUGGAGGAAAGCGGGGGAUCUUCGGACCUCGCGCUCAAGGGGCGGCCGAUGGCGGAUUAGCUAGUUGGUGGGGUAAAGGCCUACCAAGGCGACGAUCCGUAGCUGGUCUGAGAGGACGACCAGCCACACUGGGACUGAGACACGGCCCAGACUCCUACGGGAGGCAGCAGUGGGGAAUUUUGGACAAUGGGGGAAACCCUGAUCCAGCAAUGCCGCGUGUGUGAAGAAGGCCUUCGGGUUGUAAAGCACUUUUGUUCGGGAAGAAAUCCUUCGAGCUAAUACCUUGAGGGGAUGACGGUACCGGAAGAAUAAGCACCGGCUAACUACGUGCCAGCAGCCGCGGUAAUACGUAGGGUGCGAGCGUUAAUCGGAAUUACUGGGCGUAAAGCGUGCGCAGGCGGUUCGCUAAGACCGAUGUGAAAUCCCCGGGCUUAACCUGGGAACUGCAUUGGUGACUGGCGGGCUAGAGUAUGGCAGAGGGGGGUAGAAUUCCACGUAGCAGUGAAAUGCGUAGAGAUGUGGAGGAAUACCGAUGGCGAAGGCAGCCCCCUGGGCCAAUACUGACGCUCAUGCACGAAAGCGUGGGGAGCAAACAGGAUUAGAUACCCUAGUAGUCC
rnacentral:rRNA from 1 species